GCCUAAUACAUGCCAGUCGAGCGGAGAUAUGGGAGCUUGCUUCCGAAUCUUAGCGGCGGACUGGUGAGUCACGCGUGAGCUACCUGCCUUGCACUGGGGGAUAACGCAUCGAAAGAUGUGCUAAUACCGCGUACGACCACAGCACCGCCUGGUGCAGGGGUCAAAGGAGCAUUCCGGUUCAACAUGGGCUCGCGUCCGAUUAUCUCCGUUGGUGAGAUAACAGCCCAUCACGGCGACGAUCGGUAUCCGCCGUGAGAGGGUGCAUCGGCCCCAUAGGAAGUGAGACACGGUCCCGACUCUUACGGGAGGCAGCACUGGGGAAUAUUUGGCACUGGGCGAAAACCUGACCCAGCAACGCGGCGUGAGGGAAGAAGGGUUUUGGGUUGUAAACCUCUGUCUUAUCGGACGAAGGAAGUGACGGUCUCAUAGGAGGAAGUCCCGGCUAACUACGUGCCAGCAGCCGCGGUAAUACGUAGGGGGCGAGCGUUGUCCGGAAUGAUUGGGCGUAAAGGGCGCGUAGGCGGCCCGUUAAGUCUGGAGUGAAAGUCCCGCUUUCAAGGUGGGAAUUGCUUUGGAUACUGAUGGGCUUGAGUGCAGGAGAGGAAAGCGGAAUUACCGGUGUAGCGGUGAAAUGCGUAGAGAUCGGUAGGAACACCAGUGGCGAAGGCGGCUUUCUGGACUGAAACUGACGCUGAGGCGCGAAAGCGUGGGGAGCCAACAGGAUUAGAUACCCUGGUAGUCCCCCCGGUAAACGAUGAAUGCUAGGUGUUGGAGGUAUCGACCCCUUCAGAGCCGCAGUACACACAAUAAGCAUUCAUGCCUGGGGAAGUACGGCCCGCAAGAUUGAAACUCAAGGGAAUUGCACGGGGCCCCGCACAAGCAGCGGAGCAUGUGGUUUAAUUUGUAGCACCGCGAAGAACCUUAUCAGGUCUUGACAUCCAGCAAAAACAUAAGAGAUUAGGCGUCCCUUCGGGGGUGCUGAGACAGAGUGGUGCACGGUUGUCGUCAGCUCGUGUCGUGAGAUGUUGGGUUAAGUCCAGCAACGAGCGCAACCCCUGCUGCCAGUUACCAUCAUUAAGUUGGGGACUCUGGCGGGACUGCCCAGAUCAACUGGGAGGAAGGUGGGGAUGACGUCAGGUCAGUAUGGCCCUUAUGCCUUGGGCUGCACACGUACUACAAUGCCCAGUACAGAGGGAAGCCAACCCGCGAGGGUGAGCGGAUCCCGAAAAGUGGGCCCAGUUCGGAUUGGAGGUUGCCACUCGCAACCAUGAAGCCGGAAUCGCUAGUAAUGGCGCAUCAGCUACGGCGCCGUGAAUACGUUCCCGGGUCUCGCACAAAGCGCCCGUCA
rnacentral:rRNA from 1 species